rnacentral:tRNA from 1 species
AAGUUAAUGUUGGAAUUUUGAAAAUUCUUUAAGGGAAAAUCCCUUAACUUU